CACAUCAUGUGACCAGGUGAUAGUCCCACAUCAUGUGCCCAGGUGAUAUUCCCACAUCAUGUGACCAGGUGAUAUUCCCACAUCAUGUGACCAGGUGAUAUUCCCACAUCAUGUGACCAGUGGUAAGAAGAGGAAGCCAGCAUGGACCGACCGCAUUCUGUGGCGCAUCAAACCCAAAUCCCCGCCCCCUGAGGAUGACGAGGAGGAGAGGGCGUCGACCUCCACACAGCACUCGGAUGACGGACAGGAGGAGUAUCCAAUCAAAGUGCUCCAGGACACCUACACCUGCGACCCCAACUACGGGG